rnacentral:rRNA from 1 species
ACGGAAGGCAGCAGUGGGGAAUAUUGCACAAUGGGGGAAACCCUGAUGCAGCAACGCCGCGUGAGUGAUGAAGUAUUUCGGUAUGUAAAGCUCUAUCAGCAGGGAAGAAAAUGACGGUACCUGACUAAGAAGCCCCGGCUAACUACGUGCCAGCAGCCGCGGUAAUACGUAGGUGGCAAGCGUUAUCCGGAAUUACUGGGUGUAAAGGGAGCGCAGGCGGGUCAGCAAGUCAGCGGUGAAAAUUAUGGGCUCAACCCAUAAACUGCCGUUGAAACUGUUGAUCUUGAGUGGAGUAGAGGCAGGCGGAAUUCCGAGUGUAGCGGUGAAAUGCGUAGAUAUUCGGAGGAACACCAGUGGCGAAGGCGGCCUGCUGGGCUCUAACUGACGCUGAGGCUCGAAAGUGUGGGGAGCAAACAGGAUUAGAUACCCUGGUA